GUGGGAGCUGGCUUGCCAGCGAUGGCGGAGUGUCAGUCGCCAUCAAUAGCGGUUGACACGUCCCUAUCGCUGGCAAGCCAGCUCCCAC
rnacentral:antisense_RNA from 1 species